ACAGAGGGUGCUAGCGUUGUUCGGAAUUACUGGGCGUAAAGGGCGCGUAGGCGGCCCGUUUAGUCGGGUGUGAAAUCCCGGGGCUCAACCCCGGAACUGCACUCGAUACUGGCGGGCUUGAGUUCCGGAGAGGAUGGUGGAAUUCCCAGUGUAGAGGUGAAAUUCGUAGAUAUUGGGAAGAACACCGGUGGCGAAGGCGGCCAUCUGGACGGACGCUGACGCUGAGGCGCGAAAGCGUGGGGAGCAAACAGGA
rnacentral:rRNA from 1 species